rnacentral:rRNA from 1 species
GUGCCAGCCGCCGCGGUAAGACGGAGGGUGCUAGCGUUGUUCGGAAUGACUGGGCGUAAAGGGCGCGUAGGCGGCUCGUGAAGUCGGGUGUGAAAGCCCGGGGCUCAACCCCGGAACGGCAUCCGAUACUGGCGGGCUUGAGACCGGGAGAGGAGGGUGGAAUACCCAGUGUAGAGGUGAAAUUCGUAGAUAUUGGGUGGAACACCGGUGGCGAAAGCGGCUCUCUGGCCCGGAUCUGACGCUGAGGCGCGAAAGCGUGGGGAGCAAACAGGAUUAGAAACCCGGGUAGUCC